UAAAAUCAGUGUUCCAGAAAAUGUGCCACGUUCCUCCGCUGGCUUCUUUCAGGAUAAUUCUCCUGCAUCCUACAUAGACUAAGCUUGUCUCCUCUUCUUUACCAAGUACUCUCUGAGCAGCCAUUCUUCCAUGUCCAGGUACAAUCGAAGGGAUAUGAGCAGCAAGGAAAACUUGUAAUGACGUUAAGCUUUGACUCCAGAACUCACUAGGAAAAUGAUGGAAUCUCCAGUCCCUCAAAGUUUUUAAAAUUAUUCUCAGGCUGACAUGUGCUGUCAUCUCAGCUGGACCAAGUUCCCCUGUCUAAGAAGUGCCUGUCCCACUGUGGUGUUUAUUUCUGCUGUACAGAUGCUGGUCUUUUCUCUUUCAUGAGGUUGUCAAGUUUUUAAGAUUCAAAUUUUUCAGAUUUCUGCUUUUCAAAUUAUGGUUGCAAGGAUGUCAGCUUGGAGAUUCAAAUCUGUCUAAUGACCUUCUGUAAGGACCUUCUUCUUCUCCGGCACAAGGAAUUUCAUGAUAUUACCUUAAUGGUGAGAGAAUAGACAGAAAGACAAUGAGAAACAAAAAUAGCCAUCACUUCAAUAUUUUUGAAUAUUAUGUUAAUUCACAAUGUUAAUUGAAUUCUGAUUCCAAUAUACUCUUGCU